GGCGGGGCUGCGGGGUGAGGAGCCCGGGGUGGGCCUGUCGCGACCUCGGCGGUGAAGACGAUCGUGUUCCGGCCAGGACCCCACCGC
rnacentral:tRNA from 1 species